rnacentral:rRNA from 1 species
UACGAAGGGGGCUAGCGUUGUUCGGAUUUACUGGGCGUAAAGCGCACGUAGGCGGCUUGUUAAGUCAGGGGUGAAAUCCCGGAGCUCAACUCCGGAACUGCCUUUGAUACUGGCAAUCUUGAGGCUGGAAGAGGUUAGUGGAAUUCCCGGUGUAGUGGUGAAAUGCGUAGAUAUCGGGAGGAACACCAGUGGCGAAGGCGACUACCUGGCCUGUUCUUGACGCUGAGGCGCGAAAGCUAGGGGAGCAAACGGG